AACGAACGCUGGCGGCAGGCCUAACACAUGCAAGUCGAGCGAGGACUUCGGUUCUAGCGGCGGACGGGUGAGUAACGCGUGGGAAUGUGCCCUUCUCUACGGAAUAGCCCUGGGAAACUGGGAGUAAUACCGUAUACGCCCUAUUGGGGUAAGAUUUAUCGGAGAAGGAUCAGCCCGCGUUGGAUUAGGUAGUUGGUGGGGUAAUGGCCUACCAAGCCGACGAUCCAUAGCUGGUUUGAGAGGAUGAUCAGCCACACUGGGACUGAGACACGGCCCAGACUCCUACGGGAGGCAGCAGUGGGGAAUCUUAGACAAUGGGGGCAACCCUGAUCUAGCCAUGCCGCGUGAGUGAUGAAGGCCUUAGGGUUGUAAAGCUCUUUCAGCUGGGAAGAUAAUGACGGUACCAGCAGAAGAAGCCCCGGCUAACUCCGUG
rnacentral:rRNA from 1 species